GUCGGGUGCCUGGGAUCCCAGCUCCCAGGGAGGCUGAAGCCGGCGGAUCGUUUGAACUCAGGAGGUCUGGGCUGCAGGGGGCUGUGCUGAGUCGGUGUCUGUGCUGAGGGCUGCAUCGACAUGGGGGUCCCUGGGGAGCCGGGGGUCCCCAGGUUGCCUUAGGAGGACCGAACCAGCUCAGGUCGGAAGGGAGCAGGUCAAAGCUCCCAUGUUGCUCAGUAGUGGGAUGGCGCCUGUGAGCAGCCCCUGCAGCGCAGGCUGGGCGAGACACGGAGACCCGGGCUUUCU
rfam:Pelodiscus sinensis unplaced genomic scaffold scaffold1081, whole genome shotgun sequence.